GUGCCUUUUUCCAUAAUUUUUUCUUAUAACCAGCCCUUCUCAUCCAAAGGCCACAAUGAAGUCAAAGAAAACUAUAGAUGACAGCUUUCACAAUCUUUCUCUUGCCUUUUCGUGUACUGACGUAUGUUAGAGAUCUGACUGGCAGCUUCAAGGCACUUGGAAGCAAGAGGGCCACUCUAUUAAGGAUCGCUGAAGUAUGCCCACAUGUCAGGUUUCUCUCAGAUGUGGUAUCAAAACAUCAUUAUGGGCCGGGCACAGUGGCUUACGCCUGUAAUCCCAGCACUUUGGGAGGCUGAGGCAGGUGGAUCAAGAGGUCAAGAGAUCGAGAUCAUCCCGGCCAACAUGAAAUAAAAAGAAAGUUAGAAAGUCUUCUGCCUCCCCUCAGAAAAUGAGCUCGUGUUGCGAGUAUCCAUUGAAAAUGCCAUGUGAUGCUAAUCAUCUCUGAGUGAACCCUACAUCUUACAGUAAAUUGCAUAUUGCAAUAAAAAGUGAUCUCUCAUGGUUCUUGAAUUAUUUUUCAUCAUGUUUAGUGCAAUACUGUAAACCUUCAACAUCACCAUGGGACCCAUAUGAAAUGUCACUAGUGAUGCUGGAAGUGCUCCCAAGAAGCAGAGAAAAAUCAUUACCAAAAAAAGCUGAAUUGCUUGAUAUGUACCGUAGAUUAAGGUCUGCAGCUGUGGUUGCCCACCAUUUCAAGAUAGAUGAAUCCAGAGUAAGGACCAUGGUGGUUGGGGGAGGACUUUGUGGAGCCAUCACUGCAGCUACGACAGCAGGCAUGAAAAUCUUGAAAUUUCUGUAAAAUAUCUUUUUAUCUCAUAUUUAAAAUACAAUGUGAGUACAGAAUUGCUAUAAGAAAGGCAUACUCUAGUAAGACUUGAAGUCAUUAUAUGACAACUUAAAGCAA
rnacentral:antisense_RNA from 1 species